rnacentral:rRNA from 1 species
UACGUAGGGUCCGAGCGUUGUCCGGAAUUAUUGGGCGUAAAGGGCUCGUAGGCGGUUCGUCACGUCGGGAGUGAAAACUCGGAGCUUAACUCCGAGCCUGCUUCCGAUACGGGCAGACUAGAGGUAGGCAGGGGAGAGCGGAACUCCUGGUGUAGCGGUGGAAUGCGCAGAUAUCAGGAAGAACACCGGUGGCGAAGGCGGGUCUCUGGGCCGAUACUGACGCUGAGGAGCGAAAGCGUGGGGAGCGAACAGGG